CGUGCUAAUCUGCGAUAAGCGCCGGUAAGGUGAUAUGAACCGUUAUAACCGGCGAUUUCCGAAUGGGGAAACCCAGUGUGACUCGUCACACUAUCAUUAACUGAAUCCAUAGGUUAAUGAGGCGAACCGGGGGAACUGAAACAUCUAAGUACCCCGAGGAAAAGAAAUCAACCGAGAUUCCCCCAGUAGCGGCGAGCGAACGGGGAGGAGCCCAGAGCCUGAAUCAGCAUGUGUGUUAGUGGAAGCGUCUGGAAAGGCGCGCGAUACAGGGUGACAGCCCCGUACACAAAAGCGCAUGUGCUGUGAGCUCGAUGAGUAGGGCGGGACACGUGGUAUCCUGUCUGAAUAUGGGGGGACCAUCCUCCAAGGCUAAAUACUCCUGACUGACCGAUAGUGAACCAGUACCGUGAGGGAAAGGCGAAAAGAACCCCGGCGAGGGGAGUGAAAAAGAACCUGAAACCGUGUACGUACAAGCAGUGGGAGCCCCACCACUAAGCCAGUGGUGAACUCCACAUACGCAUCCUUUGCUGAGGAUACGGUUAACGGAGCGAAAGCGACGUUCAACCUCAAAAGAAGCAGAGGGGGCUUAGUGGUGGGGUGACUGCGUACCUUUUGUAUAAUGGGUCAGCGACUUAUAUUCUGUAGCAAGGUUAACCGAAUAGGGGAGCCGGAGGGAAACCGAGUCUUAAUUGGGCGUUAAGUUGCAGGGUAUAGACCCGAAACCCGGUGAUCUAGCCAUGGGCAGGUUGAAGGUUGGGUAACACUAACUGGAGGACCGAACCGACUAAUGUUGAAAAAUUAGCGGAUGACCUGUGGCUGGGGGUGAAAGGCCAAUCAAACCGGGAGAUAGCUGGUUCUCCCCGAAAGCUAUUUAGGUAGCGCCUCGUGAAUUCAUCUCCGGGGGUAGAGCACUGUUUCGGCUAGGGGGCCAUCCCGGCUUACCAACCCGAUGCAAACUGCGAAUACCGGAGAAUGUUAUCACGGGAGACACACGGCGGGUGCUAACGUCCGUCGUGAAGAGGGAAACAACCCAGACCGCCAGCUAAGGUCCCAAAGUCAUGGUUAAGUGGGAAACGAUGUGGGAAGGCCCAGACAGCCAGGAUGUUGGCUUAGAAGCAGCCAUCAUUUAAAGAAAGCGUAAUAGCUCACUGGUCGAGUCGGCCUGCGCGGAAGAUGUAACGGGGCUAAACCAUGCACCGAAGCUGCGGCAGCGACACUAUGUGUUGUUGGGUAGGGGAGCGUUCUGUAAGCCUGUGAAGGUGGCCUGUGAGGGUUGCUGGAGGUAUCAGAAGUGCGAAUGCUGACAUAAGUAACGAUAAAGCGGGUGAAAAGCCCGCUCGCCGGAAGACCAAGGGUUCCUGUCCAACGUUAAUCGGGGCAGGGUGAGUCGACCCCUAAGGCGAGGCCGAAAGGCGUAGUCGAUGGGAAACGGGUUAAUAUUCCCGUACUUGGUGUUACUGCGAAGGGGGGACGGAGAAGGCUAUGUUGGCCGGGCGACGGUUGUCCCGGUUUAAGCGUGUAGGUGUGUGUUCCAGGUAAAUCCGGUUCACUUUAACACUGAGGCGUGAUGACGAGGCACUACGGUGCUGAAGCAACAAAUGCCCUGCUUCCAGGAAAAGCCUCUAAGCAUCAGGUAACAUCAAAUCGUACCCCAAACCGACACAGGUGGUCAGGUAGAGAAUACCAAGGCGCUUGAGAGAACUCGGGUGAAGGAACUAGGCAAAAUGGUGCCGUAACUUCGGGAGAAGGCACGCUGACACGUAGGUGAAGUGAUUUACUCAUGGAGCUGAAGUCAGUCGAAGAUACCAGCUGGCUGCAACUGUUUAUUAAAAACACAGCACUGUGCAAACACGAAAGUGGACGUAUACGGUGUGACGCCUGCCCGGUGCCGGAAGGUUAAUUGAUGGGGUCAGCGCAAGCGAAGCUCCUGAUCGAAGCCCCGGUAAACGGCGGCCGUAACUAUAACGGUCCUAAGGUAGCGAAAUUCCUUGUCGGGUAAGUUCCGACCUGCACGAAUGGCGUAAUGAUGGCCAGGCUGUCUCCACCCGAGACUCAGUGAAAUUGAACUCGCUGUGAAGAUGCAGUGUACCCGCGGCAAGACGGAAAGACCCCGUGAACCUUUACUAUAGCUUGACACUGAACAUUGAGCCUUGAUGUGUAGGAUAGGUGGGAGGCUUUGAAGUGUGGACGCCAGUCUGCAUGGAGCCGACCUUGAAAUACCACCCUUUAAUGUUUGAUGUUCUAACGUGGACCCGUGAUCCGGGUUGCGGACAGUGUCUGGUGGGUAGUUUGACUGGGGCGGUCUCCUCCUAAAGAGUAACGGAGGAGCACGAAGGUUGGCUAAUCCUGGUCGGACAUCAGGAGGUUAGUGCAAUGGCAUAAGCCAGCUUGACUGCGAGCGUGACGGCGCGAGCAGGUGCGAAAGCAGGUCAUAGUGAUCCGGUGGUUCUGAAUGGAAGGGCCAUCGCUCAACGGAUAAAAGGUACUCCGGGGAUAACAGGCUGAUACCGCCCAAGAGUUCAUAUCGACGGCGGUGUUUGGCACCUCGAUGUCGGCUCAUCACAUCCUGGGGCUGAAGUAGGUCCCAAGGGUAUGGCUGUUCGCCAUUUAAAGUGGUACGCGAGCUGGGUUUAGAACGUCGUGAGACAGUUCGGUCCCUAUCUGCCGUGGGCGCUGGAGAACUGAGGGGGGCUGCUCCUAGUACGAGAGGACCGGAGUGGACGCAUCACUGGUGUUCGGGUUGUCAUGCCAAUGGCACUGCCCGGUAGCUAAAUGCGGAAGAGAUAAGUGCUGAAAGCAUCUAAGCACGAAACUUGCCCCGAGAUGAGUUCUCCCUGAGACUUAAAGUCUCCUGAAGGAACGUUGAAGACGACGACGUUGAUAGGCCGGGUGUGUAAGCGCAGCGAUGCGUUGAGCUAACCGGUACUAAUGAACCGUGAGGCUUAACCUUACAACGCCGAAG
rnacentral:rRNA from 1 species